AUUUCUAUGACAUUGACCUUAAACUUUCCAUUUUAUUUCUCUAAAGUACCUCAGGAAAGAAAUGUUACUAAUAAACAUGAAGAAGAAAAGGAAAGAGAAGAGAUCAUGAGAAAGUCACAGGGGAUUCCUGUUUCAGGCAAGAAAUAACCUCCUCAAUAACUUUUAUUCACAUUCCAUUGGCAAGAGCUAAUUAUAUCGCCAAAUAAUGUGGCAGUGGAGAUAGAUAAUAUACUCUGGCCAGGACGGUGAUCUAAUGCAUCUCUCCUUUUAUCAGUUGUGGGUCAAAAGAAGCAGGAGCCAAGUACGUUGGGUGUCCUGUGACUAAAUGUUCCUGCAAGUACCAGCAAGAUGCAUGAAGCAAUUACUCUAGAAUGCUGCCUUUUUUUUUUCUUACAAGAAUACAAUCCUUAGAACUAUAGUAUCCUCCUUG